GCCACUGAUGAAAGCCUGGAAUAGGAAGUGCCGUCAGAUGCGACAACUGACGAUUGUUUCUAAUCCACCUUUCUGAGU
ensembl:snoRNA